rnacentral:misc_RNA from 1 species
UUUCCGUAGGUGAACCUGCGGAAGGAUCAUUGUCAAAACCUUCUCAACAGAAGAGCGACCCGUGGACACGUUGAAUCGUCGGGCGGGGGAGGGCUCGCCCGCCCCCGCCGCCAAAGAACUCGGCGCGGACCGCGCCAAGGAAAACUGAAUCAAGGAGCAUGCGCUCGGGGCCGUCGCAACGRCGCGCCCGCGAGUCGCACCCCUGCGAUAGCAAUACAACGACUCUCGGCAACGGAUAUCUCGGCUCUCGCAUCGAUGAAGAACGCAGCGAAAUGCGAUACCUGGUGUGAAUUGCAGAAUCCCGUGAAUCAUCGAGUCUUUGAACGCAAGUUGCGCCCGAGGCCUUUAGGCCGAGGGCACGCCUGCCUGGGCGUCACGCGAUCCGUCGCCCCACGGCCACGCACCCCUUCAGGAACGGGCCGGUCGGGGCGGAUGUUGGCCUCCCGUGCGUCGCCGCACGGUUGGUUGAAAAAGAGGCAGCCCGCGUCGCACGACACUCGGCGGUUGGUGGAUGACACUAGUUUCUGUCCCAUCGCCCCGUCGGCGCGUCGCGCGGAACUGCGCCGACCCUCGGACGUCGCCCGCCUCGGCGGACGCCGAUUCCUCUUGCGACCCC